UGUCAAACAAGACACAGCGCACGCAGCUUCUCCGAGGAAAGCCAUGUUCAGUUACACAGAGAGCUCCAAAGAAGACAGAGAAAGCCAGAGUCUUGUACCUUGUGUUUAUCAGUAUAUUUAUGUUUGCUGGGUGAAAAAGAAAAACUGGAUAAACAAAGUAAAAAAUAAUUCAGGUCACUUCACUUUCACUUUCACUGUUUAUGUUUAUAUAGUCCUUUUCUAGGCACUCAAAGUGCUUUACAUUGUUAGAGGGGAUUUCCACAUUCAUCACCAGAUGUGAAAACAUCAUCACCACACAGUUGUUUUUAUUCUUGCUGACUCAGUGCAGAAGAGGCGUCACGUCUGUGUAUUGGUGUGUUUAAAACUCAGACACAACAGCAGAGAUCUCAGAGCUGCAGUGAAGGUUUUAGUUUCAGCUCAUCACAAGAUAAUGAAAGAAAAUUUAAGAGAAAUUCAUUCAUGGCAGAAGAUCAGUGGAGCAUCACAAACUGCAGAAGAAUUAAACAGAGAGAAAAAUGGCAAAGAAAGAGGAUGAGAGACAAUCUGAUGAACCAGGAGAGAAAAAGAGCCUGGAACGAGUCAGACGGAGCAGUAUUAACAGUGGAAGACCAAACUUUUCUGAAGAUUCAGACAGUUUUAUUCAGAGAGACUCUCAGAUGAGACAGGAGCAGCUCCUUUCACAGCACCUGCAGAAUAUACUUUAUAUUCAGUCUCUGAUCAAAUACUGUAUAUUUUACAUUGUUUGUUGUAUUUUAGUGUCAUUCUAUAUUCAGAAUAUUAUAGAUCUAUAUAAUCAACCAAUAUAAAUUAAUAUAAACUUCAUUAACAUCAUUGUAAACAAUAUGUAUAUAUUCUUUUUUUAAGUUAAUAUUAUUUUUGAAAUUUACGAGCAGUCUCUCAGUGUUUUACUGUAUGAUGCUGUACAUAACACAAACAAUUAUUUCUGUACAUGUUUCUAAAUACUAUUACAUUUACAUUUAGACAAAAAUAUGUAUAUGUUUGUUAACAAAAUAUGUAUAUUGUAUUAAACAAAUUUUGUAAGUUUACUGCAGUGAAUCUGAACAAC